AAGUCUUGCUGCAUAAAAACCAUUUUGCUCUGAUUGUGUAGAGCACUGGAAACCACGAGGAAGAGGUGCAGUGUUCUCUCCUGAGCAUGAAGCCAGAUCUUGGUGUUGCUUUUGUAACUGCCAUUAGCCAUUGAUUGUUCUUCUCUUCCUUUGGGAGAGUAAGAGAGAGAGAACACAGUCUGAAUGAGUGGU
rnacentral:snoRNA from 1 species